UGGCCAGACUCCUACGGGAGGCAGCAGUGGGGAAUAUUGCACAAUGGGGGAAACCCUGAUGCAGCGACGCCGCGUGAAGGAAGAAGUAUUUCGGUAUGUAAACUUCUAUCAGCAGGGAAGAAAAUGACGGUACCUGACUAAGAAGCCCCGGCUAACUACGUGCCAGCAGCCGCGGUAAUACGUAGGGGGCAAGCGUUAUCCGGAUUUACUGGGUGUAAAGGGAGCGUAGGCGGUGCAGCAAGUCAGAAGUGAAAGCCCGGGGCUCAACCCUGGGACUGCUCUGGAAACUGUAAAGCUGGAGUGCGGGAGGGGCAGGCGGAAUUCCUGGUGUAGCGGUGAAAUGCGUAGAUAUCAGGAGGAACACCGGCGGCGAAGGCGGCCUGCUGGACCGUAACUGACGUUGAGGCUCGAAAGCGUGGGGAGCAAACAGGAUUAGAUACCCUAGUA
rnacentral:rRNA from 1 species